rnacentral:lncRNA from 1 species
CCCAAGCGCCAGCAGUCCAAGCUUCAUCUUCAGCUCUCACGCGCUCCCGGAUCUUUCUCCCCACCAGCGCAUCUUCCGGAUCCACGCGUUCAUCCAGCCGUUCGAGAGCAUCCGUAGCCGUCCAUGCGCGUCCAAGCACCAUCGAUCAACGUCCGCUCCUUCCGCGUCCGCUCCGCGUUCUCAGCUCGUCACCACCGCGUGCGAGAAGGGGGGGAGAAGGCUAGCUGCUAUACCUCUUGGCUGGGAGGGGUUUGGGUAUCAUCCCUCAUUCGGAAGAAACAGGGCAUCAGGCCUCUGUCAUUGAAAAAAAAAGAAAAAAAGGGAAACAGGGGAGGCCCUGUUUCCGUAAAGAAAAAAGAAAGAAAGGAAAAGGGGAAAAUGAAAGGGGGAUUAAUGUGUGAAAUGAGUGGCUGAUUUCUUAGGGAGGGAGAUGGAGGAACCUUUGAUGUAUUGCUCUUUGAAGUAAACUCUAAACUUUUGCUUUGAAUGACUUAUAUUUACUGAUAUGUUCUUGAUCCAUGCGUAGUUAUUUCGUAGAUAGCUCUUUAAUGGAUUAUGAUUAUUGAUAUAUGGAUUGCUUUAGUAUUUG